AUGGUGCUGCUGAUGCAAAAGUCAGAGAGCCGUGUCUCUCAAGAGUCAGAGGUUUUUGUACGGCGGCUCAAUGAGUUUGUAUCACUGUGGUACACGUUCGGUGGAGGAACCAGACUGGAAUUUGGAUGUGAUGUCCGUCCCACCCUGACGGUGCUGCCCCCCUCCAGGGAGCAGCUGCAGCAGGGGACGGCCACGCUCAUGUGCCUGGCCAGCAAGGGCUUCCCCUCAGACUGGAGUCUGUCCUGGAAGGUGGACGGCAGCAGCAGCAGCUGGGAGCAGAGCAGCAGCCCCGGGGUGCUGCAGACGGACGGCCACUACAGCUGGAGCAGCACCCUGUGGCUCCCUGCAGACCAGUGGAGGAAGGUGGGCUCUGUGACCUGUGAGGCCACCCAGGGCUCCCAGUCUCCUCUGUCAGAGACUCUGAGGAGAGACCAGUGUUCCCAGUCCUGAUCUCACUCACUGGUUUUGCUCUGCUACUGCUCUCAGUCUGUACUCUUUCUCUGUUCCUCUCAUGAUUUUUCAACAUUAACUUGUUCUUGCUUCUGUUGAUAGUUUCAACAUUUUCCAACAAUAAAGAAUUCCAUCGUAUAUUAUAAAAGAGACCGGCCUUUUGAAUUCCGUUCUUUCACAUGUGUUAUAUAUUAGGAGCAUGAAUCAGAUUAAUGUGCCAAAGUGACAAUUGUAAAAAGUGCAUUUUCUCCAGAAUAAUUUUUAAAAGUUUCAAUACUGUAGACAUGGUGCUGCCAUUUCAAUGGUAAAUCACAAAGCUAUCAGAUUUAACUAAUUUAUACUCUUGAGGAUCACAAGUUAAUAUUUCAUAAAAAUGUGUAUUUUUACGCAAGAUCAUUUAUCAUUCAUUUGUAAUCCUCUGUCCCUAAUAUAAAUGGUGCCCUGUUUAGAGGUAUCCAUAAACAUAUUUUAGGACAUCCUGAAAUCCCAACAUAAUGGUGCCCUGUGUGAGGCACUGUACAGUUUGCAAUCUUUCUGCACUCUGUAACUCUCUUUUUCUCACAUGUUCUUGCUUGUGUUGAUUCUUUCAGGAUUUUAAAGCAAUAAAAAAAUCAUUAUGUGUAUUAUAAAGUGUCUUUUGAGUUCUUUUCUGUGACAUAUUUAAGAUAUAACAGUCCAGUCCGGAAACGUAAAGUCCAGAGUACAUUUUAGUGGUUUUAAGAGGUUAUUCUUGAAUUGUU